ACGUCAUCUCAUAGGGAAGGCGUCCUCCGGCUCCUCACGAGAAGCAGGACCUGGACUUUUGGUCCAUACCCCGUGCACUGAGAUCGCCCAAGGAUCACGUGCAUGGAUGUUCCAGCAAGAGACAAGUUGCUAUAAGACGUCGUACUGAACCUUAUGAGGAGGUGGGAGCUCUGCACCAGCACCUGAUUGUCAGAGAAAGGAAGCACCCUGCCUCAGCUUGGGGAGCGGAUCUGCAAAUCCAGUCCAGGUUUGGACAAUGUUCCACAUUGUGGACACUGCGUCAACAUGGGGCCCAGAGUGAGAGAGAUCCUGGAACAGAGUCCCGAGCCCAUCUGCAAUGGCAUGAGUGAGAAACAAACUUCUGUGACUUCAGCCCACAGAGAAUUUCAGGAUUAUUUGUUACCUCGAUCAGAAAAUUGUGAUAAGUUCAUGAAAGCAUAUUUUGCAGACUGUGAGAUGAGGGAGUGACACGGGGCUCAAGCCGGCUGUAGACAACAAGGACGGGUGAUCUGCAGCAUGUCCCACUCUUGCCACAGGCUGAGGAGCAGAAGGGAAAAGAAUGGGCCUGGGACCGUUGGAGGCACUGCUUCUGGACGGGGGUACUGACAAGCUGCUUUCUGGGACCUCUGUGGACCCCGAGGGCUGAUGAACACCCGGUCGAAGGUAAGACCUGCGCUUCUCUUCACCGGGGACUCUGUGGGGUGCUGUUAUUCAACACAAGGGACCAGACUAAACUGUACUCACUCGUAAAGAUAAUCACACACACUUCUGCUAGACGGCUUGGACACGGUGCCAGCGAGCAUUCUUCAGGGUCAGGUUUGCUCCACAAAGUGUUGCCUGAUUUAAAAAUAAUAAUAAAAUUGACGGGCAGGAGAAGGGCCUGCUGAUACGAAGUUCGCCUGUGAGGCCGAUGAAGUCCUUAAAAGAAAAGAACAACAACGCGGCCGACUCUUACGCCUGGAGCCUCUGAGUGGCCUCUGGCUUCUUGGUAAUGAUGUCAAUGCUCUUCCGUCAAGUUGAGGCUGAAAGAGAGACACCAGCAACCACAAACAGAAACCUUCUGGAAGAGCCUAAAGAUUUAGCCAUGGCACGUCUCCCAUUUUCCAUCUUUUAUUUAACUCCUUUGAACUCCCACUAAUUUCCAGGCAACACUUUGGAAUUCCAUUUUUAGCGCUGCCUUUUGAAUUAUUAUCCCCCUUGCCCCCCACCCUGUGGUGUACAAAUCUGUUACAGAGACGGCCUCCCUUUAUCAUGAAAAAAUUUUUUAUUCUUCAUUAUUGAAUAAUGUCCGUUGGCAGAAUGAUUUGAAAGGACAGACCCAUUUGAAGAAGGAAAUGAAAGUGAUCUGCAGCCCCAGCUUUCAGAGACCAUCACUAUUAAGGGUUGGGUGUAUUUCUAGCCAGGAUGUUUUCUUAAUGUGCACAUACUUUUUUUUUUUUUAAUGUGG